AGAGUACGCAAAAAAACAAUU
rnacentral:miRNA from 1 species